rnacentral:lncRNA from 1 species
CCCGUUUUGUUUUCUCUUUAGCACAGUGAAUUGCCGAAGAUACCCUCCACUAAACCUUUUCACCUCUUACCCUUCGUGUUUAUUCCGCUGCGAAUGUUUCGUUCGAUGAGAGAAGGCGUCCAUCUCUGGUUGAUUUCGAACCAGUUGGUUGGCCUGGUUGGGGGGCAGCGAUGGAAGAUCUGUGUUCACUGUUCUACAUGCGUGGGGGGCCGUCGAUUUUCGUUUGGGGAGGAUCGCUGCAUAUCCAGCCGCCCUUUUGGUCUUCAUCUCAUUGGUUUUCCUCUCAGAUGUUGCGUGCGAGGGUUGCCGUUCCAGCUGCGCUUCAUCCUUCUUCUCAUCGCAAGGGUUUAGCUAAAAGGGAUUUCUAGGUUUCGUUAAAAAAGGUUGGUUUUAAGUUAACGUUCUUUUGGUUUUCUAGGUUGGUUUAUUCAUUUGUCAUGUCGAAAAUUGAGCAGUAAGUCAGAAAUUGAGUUUGGUUUUUUUGUUACAGGGAGGAAGAUUGAAGGAAAAAGAACUGGAGUAAUCAAUAUAGGAACCCCAGUUGCUCAUCAAUGUGGUAAUUGAUGUCUGUGUGGCUGAUUUUUUGUUUGCCAGUGGUUUUAGACUCCUCCAUUUUUUAUUUUUAAUGACUCCAGAUCAGAACUAUAAUUCUAAGAGAUGUAGCUAGAAUGAUUGUCCAGAGAUGUAGCAAGACAGAAGGUUGCGUGUUCUGAGAAUUGUGUGUAGAGAAAAUAUACUAUCUUUUCUCUUCUUAAUGCUGCUUAAUUGUUGUUUUGCUUUAGCAUAUUUUUUUAUGAACAUAGUCUCAUCCAACUGGAGAAAUUAAUAUAGGAACCCUCUGCAUGUGCAUUUUUUAUUUAUUAAUUAAGGGUCGAGAUUAUGAAUGACACCUGUCAUUAUUAGUUUUCAGAAUUCUUCCCUUUUUACUUUCGACAAAAAGUUCAGAUUGAAACUAUGAUCCCUCAUUCAAAAAGAUGACCAACUAUUUUACACGCCAAAGUUUCUUUAUACUUGGAUGGUAUGUACUUGGAUUCAUUGAAACAAUUGAGAUUGAGUGCCUAUAUCUUAGCAGCUGACUUUGAGCCUUAAAGUUUUCACAUAUUUAUGAUGACCCAGACUUGGGCCCGUUGCAAUAAUUGAGAUUCGGGUGCCUAGGUCUAAGCAGCUGAAUUUGAGUCAUUAAUUUGUCAGAUGUAUAUGAUUUUGAUUGCUCUUCAGGUUUCUUUAUUAGUUAUUUUCCCCUAAUCACAAUUGUUUCGCUUCCAGAAACUAAUGGCAUCUUUCGUUCAUUUUGCAAGAUUGGUGUAUACUAUGGUACUCCACAAGUGACAUCUGGAGGAAUUCCAUUAAAAUUCUUUGCCUCAGUUCGGCUUGAAAUAUGUUCUACAUGGAAGAUAAAGUCUGUAAGAACAAUAGCCAUUGUUUCUUACUGCAUGACAGCUAUUUGAUGGAUGAGUAUAUUUAUCUUUGUAGGUCAUCUAAUAGAGUUUGAUCUAUAUUGUUUGCUCAUAGAACGUACUUCUAUACUGAUUAGGUAAUGGAGAUGGAAGAAAUUGGGGUUCGGGUUCGUGUAAGAGUGCAAAAGAGUAAGGUAAUUUUGAAUGCAUCAAAAUGGUUUCUGCAUUUGUGUGGGUUGUACACCAUGUACAGAAAGAACAUUUCUAUUACUUUUGCCUUUAUGAUUACUUAAGCAGUAAUUGCACUUUCAGUAAAAAUUUCAUAACUGGUAUAAAGUAUGACAAGUUGUCUUGCCAAUUCUUAAAGGUUCUGUCUAAUUUCUCAAAGUUUUUUUUGUCCCAAUUCUACAUUGUGCUAGAAGUGCAGCCUGUGACCAUGAAAACCAUUGUAACAAUUGACAAAUUGUUAAAUUCCCCUUUUGAUUUUUCUAAUGUUAUGAAACUGCUUCCAUCCUUUUUGAAGGCUAAAGGAUUUUGUUAUGAUAUUUGCUUAUGCUUUUGGACGAGAGACUUUUGUCAACUGCAAUCUCUUGAUUCCCAGAUUUUGCCAAACCUUUAUUAAAACUUAAUGAUUGCAGUUAAUUAUAUCUCUUAUUUAAUUUGUUUCAUCCACUUUGUUAUGUUUCUAUUUUGAAAAGAUGCUUAUCUCAUAUUUUGUUGUUGUGAAUUUUCAGUUUUUGCAAGAUGUUAACCAUGUACGAGAGAGUCAAGAAGAGGCUGUGAGUAGAAGUAGGUUCUUUGCAGGCUAGACAAGGUUGAAAAUGGUUUUUUUUCUUUUCUUUUUCCUGUUUUUGUUCGAAACUUUUUGUUCAUAUAUUCUCCCUGAAUUUUAUGUUCAAAGUAGUUAAAUUUUCGUCCAAAAUGUUUUAUUUGUGUUUCUUGAUUUGAAUGAAAGUUUGGUAUUUUAUCCUUCUUUUUGGGUUUCUUUCAUUCAUAGUCUUCGUAUUUUCCUUUUCGUAGUAAACUCUUAUAUCACAAUUCCUGCAUAUAUCAAAACUAACAAAGCUGUGGUGAUUGAGUUAUAGUUUCUAAGUAUGACACAUUUUGAAUACCAAUUCACGUCCUAAAGACAUGAAAAAAUUUGCUAUUCAGUGGAAUAUUUGUUCUUAAAUUUGUUUUACUCUCUGCUUUUUGCUCUUCCGAUUACUUUUUUUUAUACUUAAUGAUCUGCUAUCCAUGACGUGUAAAUAACGUAGUAGCAUAUUUAAAUUCUUCUUAAGGGGUGUUUUGAAUCAAGGGUUGGUUCUAUUCUUCAAGAAGACGUCUAUCUUGGCAAACUAAAUUGAGCUUGAGCUUAUGGGUUAAAUAUUGUGCCAUAUUUUUGUUGCACUGUUUCUUUUAUUAUUCUUAUAUGCAGGGAUGGUUUCUUUUCUUUUCUUUUCAGUUUCAAACAGAUUUACAGUUCUUUUCUCUUGCUUAAAUUUUGUGAAAUAUAUGUAUAUGGAGAGCCCAGAUUAAGAAAUAGCGGUUAUGCAUUAUGUUGCCUUUUUCUUGGGUUUCACGAUGGAAUACAAUGUGUUCAGUUGGUGUUUUUAGCUGAGAUUGUGAUGACUUUCAUUUUGUGGAUUUUCAGUUUUUGCAAGAUGGUAGUAGUGUAUGAGAGAGUCAAGAGAAGGCUGUGAGUAGAAGGCGGUUCUUUGCUGGCUAGACAAGGUUGAAUAUGGUUUUUAUUUUAUUUAUUUUUCCUGUUUUUGUUAGACCCUUUUUGUUCACUUAUUCUCCCUGAAUAUUAUGCCCAAAGUAGUAAAAUAAAUUAUUGCAACUAUUCAAAAGUAUAUUUAUGUUUGGCAUCAUCUCAUGUUGUGUACGAAUUGAGCAAUGAAAAGGUGAAAGAUAAAUUACAGAGAAACAUGUGGUGCAAGUGUUACAUUUGUAUUGUUUUGGUUUCAUUCUUUUGUUGUACUAAUGCCUCAUUGCCUUUGGUUUCACAAGAAGAGGCUAUGAGUAGGAGGUUCUUUCAGGCUAGACAAGGUUGAAAUUUUUUUUUUUCUUUUUCCUGUUUUCAUUCGAAAAGUUCACUUAUUGUCCUUGAAUUUAUGCUCAAAGUAGUUAAAUUUUCGUCCAAAAUGUUUUAUUUGUGUUUCUUGAAUUGAAUGAAAGCUUGGUAUUUCAUCCUUUUUUUGGGGUUUCUUUCAUUUCAUACUGUCUUCAUAUCUUUUGCUUUGUCUUUUCCUCCACUGGUGAUCAGAGACCCAAAAAAAAC